rnacentral:rRNA from 1 species
CAUGAACGCUAGCGGCAGGCUUAAUACAUGCAAGUCGUGGGGCAGCAGGGGUGUAGCAAUACAUCUGCUGGCGACCGGCAAACGGGUGCGUAACACGUACGCAACCUUCCCGUUACUGUGGCAUAGCCCAGGGAAACUUGGAUUAAUACCACAUAUUAUAUAGAGAGGGCAUCCUUUUUAUAUCAAAGCUUCGGCGGUAACGGAUGGGCGUGCGGUUGAUUAGGUAGUUGGCGGGGUAACGGCCCACCAAGCCUACGAUCAAUAGCUGAUGUGAGAGCAUGAUCAGCCACACGGGCACUGAGACACGGGCCCGACUCCUACGGGAGGCAGCAGUAAGGAAUAUUGGGCAAUGGACGAAAGUCUGACCCAGCCAUGCCGCGUGAAGGAUUAAGGUCCUCUGGAUUGUAAGCUUCUUUUCUCUGGGGCGAAAACCAGCUAUUCUUAGCUAUUUGACAGUACCAGAGGAAUAAGCACCGGCUAACUCCGUGCCAGCAGCCGCAGUAAUAC